UUUCUUAUUGUCUGCAGCAACUCCAACUUUCUCCAAGUUGGAGAAGUUGAUGACCAACAAAAGGGCGCUGAAGGAUGUUGCAAAACUGAGCCCCCACCACCAAACUUCAUCUUUGGAGGCUUUCCAUGCGGUUAUUCUUCGUUUAGCCCCCAAAAAUGUUGUCUUUCCCUUUAUUGGAAUGCUGUGCAGACUCUACCUGGCUGCUAUGCAUUCAAAUCACAAUGUGGACCGACCACAGGCCGAAACAAAGGAAGGAGUACCAAUUUAUAAAAUCUCCUUUCCAAAGGCUAGGAAGGGAGAGUGCAGAGCUAAACCUCAAAAAAUGCAGCAGACCUUUGGUAAGGGUUCAAAUCAAUUCAAACAACGCAUAUUUUGUAUUUCUAAAAUGUAUUUCUCUUGAUGAAAAAUCAAAUACAAAAACACUAACACAAAACCCAACCAAUUUGAAAAGAAAACAUGUUUUACGAUACAAGUUACGUUGAUGACAUCAUGGAUGUCAUUUUUGAGGAAGUCUUUCCCAACCCUACGCCAUACACCGAGGCCCUGUUGGAGGUUCCAGAGCCCCUAACAGCACAGUAUGAGAAGCCUGACAAGGAGGCGGUCAUCAGCAGCCUUGUGUCAAGGUUCAAACGGGGGGACGUCUAAAACCGACAUAGUGGCCUUCCUCAGCAGGAAACUCAGAGCAGAUACGCAGGACCACACAAGCUGGAAUGACAACCCGGAUACUGCGUCCCAGGAGGCCCCAGCACCAGCUCACAAAGGAGCGAUAGGAGAGAUACCUGUAACGACUGAACAAUCGAUUCAGAGAUUAAGUCUUGCAGAGAUUUAUCAUUGCUUUGUGUUAUGAAAAUAAAUAUUACUAUGAGAACAUG